GUUUCGGGGCGGAGUGAAAUUCUCCACCGGCGGUGAAAGUCCGCGAGCCCGGCGCUGCAUUCCGUAGCCGAUGGGUUGAACCGGUGCAAUUCCGGUACCGACGGUAUAGUCCGGAUGAAAGAA
rnacentral:ncRNA from 1 species